GAGUCCUGGGCGGGGACCGGGCGUGUCCCGAGUCUUGGGACUGUGCUCGUGGGAGCAGUCCCGGGCUGCAGGAUUCUAAAUGUGGAUUUGAUUGUGGCAGUGUGACCGGUUGUGAGUGCUUAUAAGUGUGCUGCUGUAAUCACCUGUCUCCAAGGUGCAUAUCUGAUGGUUGCUGUACAAACAUAUGUGAUGCUGUGUGUUGUGGUGCCGGUAUCUUGUGAUUGUGGAAGUGGUGUCUCGUGUUCUUGUAGUGUGUUAUGUGCCCGUUGCCUUUAUUCCUGGGGGGAGUGUGAAUAAAGUUGUAACUGUAACCGGUGUCUGUGUGGGUUGUUACUACUGUGUGCAGGGUUCUGUGUCCGUGGCUCUGCAUCAGCACUGCGUGGGUACCCGUACUGUGUCCCUUGGGGAGAAGGGAGGUGGAAGGACCUUGUGUGAUGCUGUGUAUGCGGACUGUCUUUGCUAAUGACUGUCUCCAGAGUGAAUGUUCAGUUAUGGCUGGAUGUAGCGUACUGUGCUUUCUGUGUGCCACCAUGUGUGGUUGUGACUGUGUAGUAGGUGUCUUUAGGAUGUAGUAAUGGACAAGGGAAGUGACUGUGGAGCGUAUGGAGGUAUCUAACUGUGACUGUAACCUUGUGUGUCUCGAGAGGAUGAACAAAGCUGAGCGUUGUAGUAUAUACUCCUGCAAUCCCAGCAUUUUUGACUCCUGAGGCAGGAGGAUCUCAAAAUCAUGGCUAGCCUGAGAUACACUGCAAAACAAACCCUGUCUCAGGAAAAAGGAAAAAAGAAAAAAGAAAGAAAAAUGCGGAAGGGUGCUGGAGAGAUGCCUAAGUGGGUAAAGUUCUUGGGGCACAAACAUGAGAAUGUGAGUUUGGAUCCCCAAAACCCACAUCAGUUGCUGUAAUGUGUUUGUAAUUCUGUAAUCCCAGCUCCUGCAGGAUUCUAGGACAGGAGAGUCUCCAAAAGCUCUCAGAUAAACUAGCCUGGAGGGAUAGCAGUGUAAAGCCCAAGGUAGAAGGCUUGCACCAACAUCCGAGACUAUUCUGCCCUCCACAUAGCUGCCAUGGCACACACAUACCUAUAUAUGUGCACACACACAAAGAUAAAAAAAAGUUUUUUUUAAAAAAAAGAGCUGAUGUGCUGCUUGUUAUGUUUGUGUGACAUGUCUGGCAGCAGCCAAGUGUGUCAGUGUGACGUGUCUAUGACUACUACUCUGGCCCCAGCAGAUCCUGUGACAUUUGGGCACAUUCUGGCCCUGGACAGUAGUGACCUCAGUUUCACAAGUCCCUGACCUUGGCCUGAAUGCCCCAUCUUCUCUGACCUCCAUCCCCUGCAGAGCCCAAAACUGCCCUGGUCACUCCUGAUUCCAUUCUUCUAACCCUCUUCUAAGAAGGUGAUGAGGAGCUGAGACAAAGCUCAGUGGUUAGUUAUCGAACAUCCAAAAGCCAAGUUCAAAAUGCACCGGGUUCUAUCCUUUCCCCGAAAUUCUUGCUUCUCUGGGCAUGCUUUCUUGACAGAAUCACCUCACCACCCUCAGUGAUCUCACAUCCAGUAUUUAUCCUGAGAGUACAAGCUGAGCGACCUGAAGAUAAGUUGAGGGGCUCAUGUCCUCUCUGCCCCUUGCAUCCCUAAUGUGGGUCAAAUUUUUUUUCCUAAGAUUUUGAAGUUGUUUUAGACUUGAAAAUAUUACAGAGAUAGAAUUCCAUAUAUUCUUUUUUUAAUUUUUAGAUUUUAUAUGUACAGGUGUUUGCCUACGUGUGUGUAGGUGCACCAUGUGCUUGCCUGCUGCCAAGGUCCCCUUUUCCCACGUGACUCUAGUUUGGGUCAAGUUGACAUGGUGUGUACACCACAUAGUACAUGCAGGUGCAAAGGAGGCCAGGAAACACACCAGGGUAGCCAGCUGCCUGACAGGGGCACUAGGCCCAGGUCCUCCACAAGAACAGCAAAGGCUCUUCACAUGACAGUGUUUUUAUUUAUUUAUUUUUUAAAUUACAUUCAUGAUAUUCAUUAAUUACACUCAUGAUAUUAAUUACACUUGUGGUAUUCAUUGAUUACAUUCUCAGUAUUCAUUCAAUAACUAUAUUUAUGAUAUUCAUUAAUUACAUUAAUUGACAUGACAGUGUUUAAAACCAGAAGGUUGACAUUGCUUCACUAGUACCAACUACUUCCAAACCUUAUUCACCAUUGUCCUGAUUUCUCUUUUUAAAACGAAUUUUGGGGCUUACGUGUGUAUGUGUUCCAUGGCACUGGAGUCGGCUGCUGCAACUGUACCUUCACCAAUGGCCUCGCCUGGGCCCUCUUCGUGGCCCACGUCUCAACUCUCUACAUGGCCCCUUCAAUCCUGGGGCUCCAACUGCCACUGAGGCUGCACCUUCACCAAUGGCCUUGCCUGGCCUCUCACAGAGCCAAGCCUCAGCUGCUCUCCAUGACCCCUUCAUGCCUUCAAAACAGUACCACUGGGUGACUCUUACACAUGACCAUGUUUGGCUGCCAGCAUGUGGUUCAACCUUGGCCGCCUCUAGAACACAACUUCUGUGUGCUCACCCUGAAGAAACACUUCCCAGAAGGUUUCACCUCAGUGGUUCUGGUCUCUUGUUAAUCACGGCUGAUUCUUCGGCCCCAGAUGACCAGACACUACAGAUUCUUAGUUCAAAAUAGUUGAACAAAAUUCUUGAAAUUUCCCAAACCAGGCCUCCAUCGCCUGCAUUUCCCUCAGCAUUCUUAUCUUCUAAGCUCCCAAAGAAUGGCCCAUUGAACUCUGAACACUCAACAGCUCUGCCAGCCCAAAGGCCUACGAUCCUCCAAAACCCAGCAUAGUUAGUUCUGGUACAACAAUACUCCACAGUCCUGUUUCCAGUUUUCUGCCUUAGAGUUUUUACUGCUGUGAGGAAACACCAUGACCAAAAGCAACUUGUGAUGGAAAGAGUUUGUUUGGUUUACACUUCCCUGUCACAGUUUUUUUUUUUUUUUUAAUUUUUUUUACGUGGCUGGAGAGACAGCCGUGGGUGCUGGGAACCGAACUCUUAUAUUUUUGGUUGUGAGCCUAGCCUUUAACGGCUGAGCCAUCUCUCCAGCCCUUGUCACAGUUCUUCAUCUGAGGAAGUCAGGGCAGGAACUCAAGCAGGGCAGGAACCUGGAGGCGGGAGCCGAUGCAGAGGCCAUGGAGGGGUGCUGCUUACCUGCUCGCUCUCAUGCCUUGCUCAGCCUGCUUCCUUAUAGAACCCAGGACCACAGCCCAGGGACGGCACCCCCAACAAUGGGCUGAGCCCUCUCCUAUCAAUCACUAAUUAAGAAAAUGCCUUAUAGCUGGAUCUUAUGGAGGCAUUUCUUAACUGAAGUUCCUUCCUCUCAGAUGACUCUAGCCUAUGUCAAGUUAACUUAAAAACUAGCCAACACAAGGCCAAAGGUCAACCUUCCUGACCCUGGAGGCCUGGAACUCUGGCUUGGGACGGUGAUGGGAUGGAGAAAGGACAGAGACAAACAAUGAAGCCGGGGUCAAGUGAGGUUCUCUGACACUGUAGCUGGGAUGCCGUGUGUUUUAUUAAGUACGGGUCGGGAGGGUGCUAGCCAUCUGUAACCCAGUCCCAGCGUCACCGCUGUUACUCAAGAUCAUUCCUUGUUCCCGUGGUUCUUCUGUGCUUGAUCCUUCUCACCGGUGUCAAAUACGCCAUCAUUUUCUCCACGACCCUGUCUGGGCCCAUUUCCACCCUUAUCUCUGGUUCAUUUUUUUUCUACUUUCCACUUGGGGGCGUGGAUUCUUGCUGUUACCCGGGCCUCAGCCUGCUGAGUUCUGAGGCUGAGCUUGUUCAUCAGCUUUAUCCUUCUCUCCAUUUUCCUUUUCUAGGAUUCUUUAUCCAAAAAGAGAAAUCAGAGUAGGUGAGGCAGUUCUGAAUGAUUCACCAUGACCCUUCAGGAAAUGGUGACAUUCAGGGAUGUGGCCGUGGAGUUCUCUGAGGAGGAAUGGAAGUGUAUGGAACCUGCUCAGAGGGACUUGUACAGAGAUGUGACUUUGGAGAACUUCAGUCACUUGCUCUCACUAGGACUUGUCCUUUCUAAGCCUGAUGUCAUCUUCUUAUUGGAGCAAGGGAAAGAGCCAUGGCUGGUUACAAAGUAUAUGACAAGACCUUGGCACCCAGACUUGGAGUCCAAGUGUGAGAUAGUUCCACAGAAAGGACUUUUUGAAACAGAGUCAUUUAAAAGGGAGGUGAUGAAAAGCUUUCAGCACUGUGACCUUAAGGACUCCCAUCUCACAGAUGACUGGGAAUGCAGAGACCAGUUGGAGAGACAGCGAGCGAGACAGGAAUGCCAUUUCAAGCAAGUGGGAAUCACCUAUGAAAGCAUGCCUGCUUUCAAGCAUUACACAUCUGUCACCCUAUUACAUCAGAGCAACAGGACUAGUGAAUGUGGGGAAGCAUUUGGCCGUGGCUCACACCUUAUGCAACACCAGAAAAAGUCUACUGGAGAAAAGCCUUUUGAGUGUAAGGAGUGUGGGAACGCUUUGGGUCGAGCUUCACACCUUGUUCAGCAUCAGCGAAUCCAUGCUGGUGAGAAGCCCUAUGAUUGUCAGGAGUGUGGGAAAGCCUUUGGUCGUACUUCAGACCUUAUUCUCCAUCAGAGACUUCACACUGGUGUCAAACCCUAUGAAUGCAAAGAAUGUGGAAGGACCUUUAGGCAGCAGUCACAGCUUAUUCUGCACCAGAGAACUCAUACGGGUGAAAAACCCUACGUCUGUAAAGACUGUGGGAAGGCUUUCAUCCGUGGUUCCCAGCUUACUGUGCACUGGAGAAUUCACACAGGAGUGAGACCCUAUCAGUGUAAAGAAUGUGGAAAGGCCUUCAGACAGCACUCACAGCUCACUGUACAUCAAAGAAUCCACACUGGGGAGAAGCCCUACGAAUGUAAGGACUGUGGGAAGGGUUUUAUCCAUAGCUCAGAAGUUACUCGGCAUCAAAGAAUCCAUUCUGGGGAAAAACCUUAUGAAUGUAAGGAAUGUGGGAAAGCAUUCAGACAGCAUGCACAGCUCAGGCGACAUCAGACCGUUCAUACUGGUGACAGACCCUUCGGAUGUAAGGACUGUGGAAAGGCCUUUAGUCGUAGUUCAUACCUGAUUCAACAUCAGAGGAUUCACACAGGUGACAAGCCUUAUGAAUGUAAGGAGUGUGGGAAAGCCUUCAUUCGUGUUUCCCAGCUGACUCAUCAUCAGAGGAUUCAUUCAUAUGAGAAACCCUACGUAUGCAGGGAGUGUGGAAUGGCUUUUAUUCGAAGUUCACAACUUACUGAACACCAGAGGAUUCAUCCUGGUAUCAAACCUUAUGAAUGUAGAGAAUGUGGGCAGGCCUUUAUCCAUGGCUCACAGCUUAUUGACCACUACCGAAUUCAUACUGACUAGAGCAUUGUGGGAUAUUUGUACCUGUGGGAAGAUGUAUUGCUGUGAUUUUUGUAAUAAAAAGCUGAAUGGCCAAUAGCUAGACAGGAGGUAUAAGCGGGAUUUCUGGGGAGAAAAGGAAGAGGGGAAGGAAUCAAGGCAUGCAGGAGACACAGAGAGGAAGCAGGAGGUACAAGAUGGAAGAGAGGUAAUGCCAUAUGAUAGCAUGUAGAUGAAUGUAAAUGGCUUAAUUUAAGUUAUAAGAGCUAGUUAGGAACAAGCCUAAGCUAUAGGCCGAGCUUUCAUAAUUAAUAAGAUGUCUCUGUAUCAUUAUUUGAGAGCUCGCUAGUGGGACAAAAAAAAAAAGACUCGUUACAUGAGAAUCCUAAACAUCAGUGCCAUGGUCAAGCCUUUAUGCUAAGUUUAAAUCUAGCCAGAGUUAUAUCGCCCCCCCCAAUGUAAUUAAUGUCAGAAAAACUUCAUUCAUCUCUUCUGCUCUAGGGUAUCAGAAAACUCAAUGCCAGUAGAAAGAUCCAGUGAAUAUGGGAAUUCAUUUUGCCUCAUUCACUGAUUAUUAUUUAUUUAUUUAUUUAUUUAUUUAUUUAUUUAUUUAUUUGGUUUUCCAAGACAGGGUUUCUCUGUGUAGCUUUGUGCCUUUCCUGGAACUUGCUUUGGAGUCCAGGCUGGGCUCAAACUCACAGAGAUCCGCCUGCCUCUGCCUCCUGAGUGCUGGGAUUAAAGGCAUGCGCCACAACUGCCCGGCUUCAUUCACUGAUUAUUAAGCAUCAGCAAACCUGUGCUAAAAAUAACUUCAUAUUAGUAUAGAAAAGCCUUUUAUUACCUAUCAAAACAUGUUCAAUUUCUUUUUUUUGUUGUUUUCUGUUUUUUGUUUUUUUCAAGACAGGGUUUCUCUGUGUAGCUUUGCGCCUUUCCUGGAACUCACUCUGUAGCCCAGGUUGGCCUCAAACUCACAGAGAUCCGCCUGCCUCUGCUUCUCUGGUGCUGGGAUUAAAGGCGCGCGCUACCACCACCACCACCACCCAGCUAUGUUCAAUUUCUGAGAAUCCCAAACAGAUAGUGAUCCUGAUUAAAAGAUUAUUGGUUUGAUGUGCUGAAUAAUGAAUGUCCUUUUGGUCGGUGUGGCAUAGACAGUGUUCUUGCUGCACUGACUACUGAAUGUCAUUGAACAUAUUAUGCAGUUUUUACCCCUUUUGUCCCUUACAUCUUUUUACUUCUUUGUUGUUUUUUACUUUGUUUUUGAGACAGAGAAACAUUUAACCUUGGCUGGCCUCAAAAUUAUGUAGCUGAAGAUGACUUUGAACUCCUGAUCCUCCUGUCUGCACCUCCCAAAUUCUGGAAUUACAGGCUUGCACUACGAUGCCAGCUAACUUCUUGGGUGUGUUUUUGUUUUUUUAAGAAACUGUCACUUACCUUGUAGAAGACCUCCAUGUUGUAAUUUAGCAUGCAUCUCUACCUCUGGCAUUUCCUACAACUGGUAGUUAAGAUUUUAGAGACUUAGCCCGAUGUGGCAGCACACACCUUUAAUCCCAGCGCUCUGGAGGCAGAGACCAGCCAAAGCUAUAAAGUGAGAACCUGUCUCCAAAAGGGAGAGGGCACUGGAGCAAUGGUCAGCCAUUAAGAGCACUUGCUCUUGCAGAAGACCUGAGUUUGGUUCUCAGCAUUGUGGCUCACAACCAUCCAUAACUCCAGUUGCAGGGGACCCAACACCCACUUCUGGCCUCUGCAGACACCAGCAUGUACUUGGUGCACAUAAAUUUAUGUAGACAUACUUUUUUAGCUUUUUUUUUAACUUAAAAUUUUUUAAUUUUUUUAAAAAUUUCAACUUAAAAUCCCAAAUGAACUUGGAAGAUACUUUAUGCUUACUUUGGGCAUUGGGAAAUGCAGCGAGACAUGUUCUCAUGCAGCCCAGGCUGGCCUCAAAUUUGUUCUAUAGCCAAGGAUAAAGUUGAACUCCUAGUUCUCCUGACUUCACCUCCCAAGUGCUGAGAUUGCAGAUGUUUUUCACAAUUUUAAACUUAUAUUUUCUUAUAAAGUCUGAAACUCAGGGACUCCAAAAGAGAAGAGAUGUAUCGGAGGGGUAAGGGGUGCACAGACUACAGCUUCUGCCCUUUCAAGGGCUGCCAUCUUCCUCCCCACCACUCACGUCUUUUUCGAGACAGAGUUUCUCUGUGUAGCCCUGGAAGUCACUCUGUGGACCAGGCUGGCCUCAAACUCAGAGAUCCCCCUGCCUCUGCCUCCGGAGUGCUGGGAUUAAAGGUGUGUGUCACCACUGCUCCCUGACUAUGCCAUCUUCAUAAUGCUUUAACGUGAUCACAAUCCUGGAGCCCGCCAAAGGGCUAUUUAAUUACAUAGUAAGUGUUUAAUCAUCAACCAUAAGUGAUUCCAUCAUUCCCUUCCCUAGAAUCCUAAGGAUAUUGGGAGGGCCAGAUAUCCAACCUUUUCUUCAUGCCCUGGUCUUUCUGGUGACCAGCCACCAAUCCUCAGCCUAUUUGGGGGCUUCUGACGUCUCAUUAGUAAAUAAAUAACACUGUCAAUCACUCUGAUGGUUCAAAGAAUUUUAGGAACUGGAGGCAGGACCAAAAGUAUAUUUUCUGUUAUACAGGUGGCACCUUCAUUCAACAGAAAUAUUCAUGGGUUUUGUUUGAGGCAGGGUCUUACUAUAUAGCCUCAGCUAUCCUGGAACUCAAGAUCCUCCAUCCUCAGCCUCCCAAAAGGCUUACACGUGUGUGCUUAUGACAGUUUAAAGCACUGUGGGGUGCAUUUACUUUCUAACAUUGAUUUUAAAACGGCAAUUGUAAGCCUACUUUGGUGGUACAUGCCACUAACCUCAGUAAUCAGCCUGCUGAAACAUGGGGAUCACAAGUUCCAGAUAGGCCAGAACUAUGUAGUAAGGCCCUGUCUGGGGAAACAAAAGGAGUGUGGGUGGGGUAGAGCUAAAAAAUCCUAAAUUAUCAGAGAAUACACGGAAAGGAUCAGGUGGGAGUGCAGUUAAAUGUUUCAGCCACUAGAUGGCAGAAGAGUGCUACCAAACAGGUUCCGCCUCGCCUUCCACCACAAGCAGCAACUUUCUGUUUGCUUGCUUGCUCUUUUGUUUUGAGACAGGAUCUCCCUAUGUAGCUCUGGCUGUCCUAGAACUCACUCUGUAGAUCAGGCUGUCCUCGAACUCAGAGAUCAGCCUGCUUCUGCCUCCCAAGUGCUGGGAGGCGUCCACGCCCAACUUGUUUUUUGAUUUUUAGCUUUAUGUCUAUGGAUUUUUUUCCUGCACGUCUAAUGUGAUGAAUUGAGGGAGGCCAUGGGAGAAAGGAAAAGCCUCACAUUUUAGUACAUUUUGCCGAAUCAAAGGAUGGAGAUGCAGUCCUACGUAGCCCAGGGUUGCCUCCAAUGAAAUCCUCCUGUCUCAGCCUGAGUCUUAGGAUUAGAAGCAAGGCGUGGGCCACGGGUUGCUAUUAUGCUCCUUUCCCUGAAGCACUAAAGGUUGAAGCCAGGGCUUUGUACAAGCUAGGCAAGAGAUCAGCCCCUGAGCCAAAACCCAAGCUCCUAACUGGUGGAUUCUAGACACACAAUCCCUUCUUAUUUUUCUGUUCUAGGUAUGCAUGGAUGGAUGGAUAUUUGUGUGUGUGUGGGGGGGGGUAUGUGCAUGUGAUAUGCAUAUGGUGCUGUGUAUGUUGUGUAUGUGUGUUUGCACACAGGUGAAACUGAAUUAAAUGCAAAAAUGUUUGAAUGCAGCUCCACAGUUUUCCAUUGUGAGCUAGGGUGUGGCUGGGGGCAGAGAGCUUGCUCAGCAUGAGCUAGGUGCUAGGUUUGAUCCUGGCUUUCGUGUGAUUUUCUCAAAAUCACAUUACUAGUUUCUUCUUCUUUCUUCCUUUCCUCCUAUGCUUUCCUUUUCAGACAGUGUCUCAGGUAGCUAAAGCUAGCCUGGAACUUUCUGUAGCCAAGGCUAGCCCUGAACAACUGCUCCUCCUACCUCCACUCACCAAGUGUAUUUCUUUUUACUGUAUUUUUAAAUUUUACUAUUUGUAUAUGAUGGGAGGGCCCACGUCUGCCACAGAAGGACAGCCUUGUAGAGUUGAGUGGCAAGCAUGCUUACCUACAGAGCUGGCUCACUAGCCUGUCUUUUUUAACUGCUAGCUAAGUUAUGCUCUGAGCCCACUUCAUUGCCUGAAUAAACCUCUGACCAUAGAGACAAAAGGCCAGAAAUCAAAAGUGAAAACUUCUCUAGCAGUUAGACCUGGUGACCUAUGACCCUGCACCUACAAUUAAGGCCAACUCCUAAUGGCCCCUGGUGCCUCACCCUAAUGGCCAGUCUUGGAGAAUGAUAAAAUAGUGGGCUGCGCUCUUGAGCUCUUUUCAGGUUGGAUCCACACAAAAGGCCUAGGAAGCUUCCAGAGAACCACAUUUUUCUCUCAAGGGAGCACACACACUCUCUUCCUCCCACGAUCUCCUCUACCCCUCAGUUUGCUCUUGUGUUUCUGUACAGUCUAUUUCUUCUUUUAUGUUGUUUUGUUGUUCUUUUUUUUUUUUUUUUUUGAGACAAGAUUUCUCUGUGUAGCCGUGGUUGUUCUGGAUCUCACUCUGUAGAGCAGGCUGGCCUUGAACUCACAGAGAUCCACCUGCCUCUGCCUCCCGAGUGCUGGGAUUAAAGGUGUGUGCACCACCGCCACCCAGCUAUUCCUUAUAUCAUUUCUCAUGUGCAUUAGUGCUUUGCCCACAUGUAUGUCUCUGUAAGGGUGUUGUGUCCCCUGGAACUGCAGUUACAGCUGUGAGCUGCCAUGUGGGUGCUGGGAAUUGAACCUGGGUCCUCUGAAAGAGCAGCCAGUGCUCCUAACUGCUAACCACUGAGCCCCCUCUCUAGCCCCACCUCCUCCUACCCCCCAGUGUUUAUUCUUAAAAGUUUGUUUUUGUGUUUUGUUUUAUUUUAAGACAGUCUCUUUAUGUAGCCCUGGCAGGGCUGGAACUCACGGUGUAGACCACUCUGCCUUGAAAUUGCAGAGAUCUACCUUCCUCUGCUUGUCUCCCGAGCACUGGGAUUUUAGGCCUGAGUCACCACUCCCGGCUUUUUUUUUUUUUUUUUUUAAUUUUUAUUUCUUAAGUCAGUUCUGGCCCAGUAAACAAUUGUGUCCCCGGUGCCUCCCGAUUUCCUCAAGGGUACUGGGGAAGGUCCUGAGUUGGCCCUCAGGUAACAAAUAUGGAAACGAAGGCUCCGAGGUGCAAUCACUCGUUCUGGAGACAGAACGAGGCGUUAGUCUACCUCUGCCCUCACUGGCUCCCAGAUACCAGCAGGGUAGCCCUAGAUGGAGGCUGGGGACGACGCGUCCCCAGCCACUGUCUGCAAAAAACGUAAUCUGAUGGAAUCAACCCAAACAGAUGAUGACUGGCAGGUUGGAACCUUCCCUCUGAGCCUAUUGGACAAAUCUGAGUUGGCCACGCCCCCAGGCCGGGUGCAGCAGGCCUGGCUUGGGAUUCCCUCAGGGGUAAAGUGUCGCACGUCCUUGGGCAGAAAGGGGAGGUGACUGGAGCAGCAGAGGACGCAAAAUGAGAGUCUUGCGGAUCUCCCAGGCUUUGACUCGUCCGUUUAGCUCAUCUGCCCGGAGCCACUUAGAAAAUCGUGUGGCAGAGAAGCAGAAACUCUUCCAGGUAGGGGGACAACGUCCCUGGACCCGAGGUGGGGAGGGGGUAGCAUGGCACGUGGAGGUCUGUGCAGGAGCCAGCACCUUGUCAUCCUCACCCCUCGCAUGCAGGCCAACAAUGACCUCCCAGUACACCUGAAGGGCGGGGGAAUGGACAGCGCCCUCUACAGGCUGACCAUGACACUGGUGCUGGGGGGUGAGUGCAGGCCCACCCCGUUGCUUGGGUUGUGGACUAGCCAGGAUCUGGGUCAGUUAGUGCUUCAGAAGGGGGUGAGUGCUGAGCUGAUAAGGUCUGAGGACGGACUAGUGCUUAGGACAGGAGCAAUGGGUUACCUAUUGCCCUGAGGGAUCGGGGCUAGUGAUGGGUCUGCCCACCCCACCCCAAACUAAGCUCCUGACCUGGUCCCUAUCACAACAGGUGGGGGUGGGGCUUCCCCAUGAGGAACGCAGUGUGGGAGGAAGAUGACAGCUGAGCUGGAGCUGUGACCCAUGAGGGGAUAGGGGAACGUCAGGAGGGGCCUUCAGAGGCCCUGUGAGAGGCUGAGCGGGAAUACGGGUCUCAUUUGUUACCCGCCCCUUCUUAGGCACUGCCUACAGCAUAUACUGCCUGGGCUGGGCCUCCUUCCCCCACAAGAAGUGACACGAGACUCUUGGAGGACUUGGACAAACAUCAAUAAACAUGCAGACCUCUUGAGAACUC